GUAAAUAUUAUUUAGCGCAUUACAAAAUGUUGAUAACAAAUAGAUAAAUGCAUAUAAUUCACUCAACACUUUGGUCCGCACACUCAUAGUCACUCAGGUUGCCAUCAUGAUUGCCCCAGUUAGCAACAAUGGCAACUGUUACGGACAAUAAUGACAUCGAUUGUCCCAGACAGUAGUGUUGUAACACCCUGAAAACUUUACGUUUACCAUGCAUCGAACUCAUUAUUUUGGGCUUUGUAGGUAUUUAAAUUUAUCGGUAUUUUUC
rnacentral:lncRNA from 1 species